UACAGAGGUCCCGAGCGUUGUUCGGAUUCAUUGGGCGUAAAGGGCGCGUAGGCGGGCUGUCAAGUCUGGGGUGAAAUCCCGCGGCUCAACCGUGGAACUGCCUCAGAUACUGACGGUCUCGAGGGAGGUAGGGGCGAGCGGAACUGAUGGUGGAGCGGUGAAAUGCGUUGAUAUCAUCAGGAACUCCGGUGGCGAAGGCGGCUCGCUGGACCUCUUCUGACGCUGAGGCGCGAAAGCCAGGGGAGCAAACGGG
rnacentral:rRNA from 1 species